rnacentral:rRNA from 1 species
CGGCGCACGGGUGAGUAACGCGUAUGUAACCUUCCUUUAACUGGGGCAUAGCCCGGAGAAAUUCGGAUUAAUACCCCAUAACAUUGCGAGAAGGCAUCUUUUUGCAAUUAAAGCUCCGGCGGUUAAAGAUGGGCAUGCGUGCCAUUAGCUAGUUGGUGAGGUAACGGCUCACCAAGGCUACGAUGGUUAGGGGGUCUGAGAGGAUGAUCCCCCACACUGGUACUGAGACACGGACCAGACUCCUACGGGAGGCAGCAGUGAGGAAUAUUGGGCAAUGGGCGCAAGCCUGACCCAGCCAUGCCGCGUGAAGGAUGAAUGCCCUAUGGGUUGUAAACUUCUUUUGUACCGGACGAAUCUCUCGAACGUGUUCGGGACUGACUGUACCGUACGAAUAAGCAUCGGCUAACUCCGUGCCAGCAGCCGCGGUAAUACGGAGGAUGCAAGCGUUAUCCGGAUUCAUUGGGUUUAAAGGGUGCGUAGGCGGAAGAAUAAGUCAGUGGUGAAAGCCUGCGGCUUAACCGUAGAAUUGCCAUUGAUACUGUUUUUCUUGAGUAUAGUUGAAGUGGGCGGAAUGUGUAAUGUAGCGGUGAAAUGCUUAGAUAUUACACAGAACACCAAUUGCGAAGGCAGCUCACUAAGCUGUUACUGACGCUGAGGCACGAAAGCGUGGGGAGCAAACAGGAUUAGAUACCCUGGUAGUCCACGCUGUAAACGAUGAUCACUCGUUGUUGGCGAUACACCGUCAGCGACUGAGCGAAAGCAAUAAGUGAUCCACCUGGGGAGUACGGUCGCAAGACUGAAACUCAAAGGAAUUGACGGGGGCCCGCACAAGCGGAGGAACAUGUGGUUUAAUUCGAUGAUACGCGAGGAACCUUACCUGGGCUUGAA